rnacentral:tRNA from 1 species
GCAUUCGUAGUUCAGUGGUAGAAUUCUCACCUUCCAUGAGAAAGACCUAGUUCAAUUCCUGGCCAACGCA